rnacentral:lncRNA from 7 species
ACGGCGCCGAUGAAGCACCGACGACAAAUCCCCGACCCGCAAUUGGGCUAAUACCUACCCCGCAAACUCUAUGCGACAAGGGUCGGUUCACAAAGACGGUGGAAGGGUCCUUACCCGCAGCGGCAUCGCGAUGAAGUCGGUCCAAGGUUGGGUAUGGCUCCGCGGCGGUGCCAUAUCCUGGUGAACAAUCCCCUGCUCACUGCACACACCCUGUGCACAACCACACAACUAUGCAUGCACGCGCAAGUUCAAGUGGCCACACCGUCGCACCAGCAGGGUACUUCGGCGGCACGAGCACGACCUCACCGACUCUCACUCUCUCUGCUUUUAUCCUCAUGGCGUCCGCAGGGAGGAGGUUUAGAAAUCUGGAAACGAUGAGAGAGAUGGUGCACGACCAUGGAUAUAUACUAGGGUCUGGCCAGGUGGUCAUGGCUGGAAACCCGCUGAGUUGUUAGGAUUUCGGCGUGGAGGGUUCUUGCGAUCCGAUGACGAACACGGGUGGAGUUGCUGCGGUGAAGAAGGAAAGCAUAAGAGAGGGCAAUUUCGAAA